rnacentral:lncRNA from 1 species
UAAUUCGUAUAUAGGGUCACGUGCUCACAAAUCAGUCUUCAUAUUUUCUGAAACUCGUUUCUUUCUGUUAAACUGGUAACUCUUUUUCUAAUAUUAGUUUGCAUCCUUUUCCUGAAAUCAGUAAAUCCCUGCCUAGUUUUAUUCAACCCACAGACAAAAGGUUGGCUAAUUAAUCAUUGGGUCAUUCUUAGACAAAUGCAUCCGAGCGGACCUAAUGCGGAUUUCUUGUCUAAAAAUAUGUGUUGAACCAGUCUAUUCAUCGCUUUAAUUUAAUCCAGACCAAAUCAGUACGUGAAUGAAAUGUAAACUAUAUGCCUUUAUUUGAUUUAAGGAGAUCCGCUUGAG